UCCCUUGUGGUCCAGUAGUUAAGAUACUGCGCUUUUACUGUAGGGGCACAGGUUUGAUUCCUGGUCGGGGAA
rnacentral:tRNA from 1 species